rnacentral:rRNA from 1 species
AUUGAACGCUGGCGGCAGGCCUAACACAUGCAAGUCGAGCGGUAGAGAGGUGCUUGCACCUCUUGAGAGCGGCGGACGGGUGAGUAAUGCCUAGGAAUCUGCCUGGUAGUGGGGGAUAACGCUCGGAAACGGACGCUAAUACCGCAUACGUCCUACGGGAGAAAGCAGGGGACCUUCGGGCCUUGCGCUACCAGAUGAGCCUAGGUCGGAUUAGCUAGUUGGUGAGGUAAUGGCUAACCAAGGCGACGAUCCGUAACUGGUCUGAGAGGAUGAUCAGUCACACUGGAACUGAGACACGGUCCAGACUCCUACGGGAGGCAGCAGUGGGGAAUAUUGGACAAUGGGCGAAAGCCUGAUCCAGCCAUGCCGCGUGUGUGAAGAAGGUCUUCGGAUUGUAAAGCACUUUAAGUUGGGAGGAAGGGUCGUUACCUAAUACGUGACGAUUUUGACGUUACCGACAGAAUAAGCACCGGCUAACUCUGUGCCAGCCGCCGCCGUAAAAC